rnacentral:lncRNA from 1 species
AAAAUGUUAAAGGUUACAGGUUGUGGGUUUAUGGGGAAAAAGGUUACAGGGUUAUCAUAAGAAGGGAUGCGGUCUUUAAUGAGUCAUGUAUGCCAUGUUUGGAAGGGAAAAAGGGAAAUUUGACUGAAAAUGAUGUCUAAAUUGAGGUGGAGCCUAUUAAAAUAGAUAAUACCAGUUCUGUCCCCUUAGAAAUAGCAACUAAUGAGGCUGACCAGAAUGAAAAUAAGCCUGAUUUGGUCGAACCUGAUUUAUGUGAUGACAUAAAUAUACCUCUAGAUGAAUACCAGCUCACUAGAGAUAGGGAUAGGAGGCAAAUUAGACCACCGGCUAGGUUCAAUAGUGAUGACUUUGUGUCUUUGUUCACUUACCAAGAAGAAAUUGAAUAUGAACCUAGUUCCUAUCAUGAAGCCUUGAAAUCUAAAGAUUCUAAGCGGUGGUUGAGUGCUAUGGAAGAAGAAAUGUCUUCCUUAUAUAAGAAUGAAACUUGGGAAUUGGUUGACAAACCAAAGGAUAAGAAACUAGCUGAUUGCAAGUGGAUUUAUAAAAUAAAGGAAGGGAAAGG